rnacentral:tRNA from 1 species
AGCUGCUUAGCUCAGUUGGUAGAGCGCCGCCUUAACACGCGGUACGCGCAGGUUCGAGCCCUGUAGCAGCA